rnacentral:rRNA from 1 species
UACGUAGGUGGCGAGCGUUGUCCGGAAUUACUGGGCGUAAAGGGCGCGUAGGCGGUCUUUUAAGUCAGAUGUGAAAACCCGAGGCUUAACUUCGGGCGUGCAUUUGAAACUGGGAGACUAGAGUGCAGGAGAGGAAAGCGGAAUUCCUAGUGUAGCGGUGAAAUGCGUAGAUAUUAGGAGGAACACCAGUGGCGAAGGCGGCUUUCUGGACUGUAACUGACGCUGAGGCGCGAAAGCGUGGGGAGCAAACAGG